AGAGAAAAGUAUUAUUAUUAUUCCUGUCACUUUCUGGCUACUGGUAAAUUGGUACAAGAAUGGAAUGUCCAUUGCCUAGCCAGUAGUAAGAAGUAGCUUUCAAAAUUAAUUUUUAAUAUACUAUAAUCUUUCUAAGUCUUCCCUAUCACAUCUGCAGGUUAGAUUUUAGAAAGACCAAUUAGUUUUAAUGUCCAAAGUAAAGCAAUUAUUACUUAAAUUAGUUUGCAAAUAUCUAAUUCAUUAUCAACAACUGUUUUUAGAGCCUUAUUGUGUAUUAAGUAUUCUUCUGGCUACUGAAAAUAUGUCACUCCACAAAACAAAAUAUUUGCCUUCAUGCAGAUUACAUUCUGGUGGGGGAGAUGCAGGAACCCAUCAACAAAAUGAAAAGACAAACCACUGAAUAGGAAAAGCUACUCACCACUGAUACAGCCGAUAAGAGGUCCAAGAUCAAGAUGUUAGCAGGUUUUGUUCCUUCCGAGGCCUUUCUUCUUGGCAUUCAGAUGGUGACCUUUUCAUUGUGUCCUCUCGUAGCCUUUCCUCUGUGCAU